ACGCUCGACACCUACGGGAGCAGCAGUGGGGAAUAUUGCACAAUGGGGGAAACCCUGAUGCAGCGACGCCGCGUGAGCGAAGAAGUAUUUCGGUAUGUAAAGCUCUAUCAGCAGGGAAGAAAAUGACGGUACCUGACUAAGAAGCCCCGGCUAACUACGUGCAAGCAGCCGCGGUAAUCUGAGCGGGCUGGCAAGGC
rnacentral:rRNA from 1 species